rnacentral:rRNA from 1 species
AUACGUAGGUGGCAAGCGUUGUCCGGAAUUAUUGGGCGUAAAGCGCGCGCAGGUGGUUCCUUAAGUCUGAUGUGAAAGCCCCCGGCUCAACCGGGGAGGGUCAUUGGAAACUGGGGAACUUGAGUGCAGAAGAGGAUAGUGGAAUUCCAAGUGUAGCGGUGAAAUGCGUAGAGAUUUGGAGGAACACCAGUGGCGAAGGCGACUGUCUGGUCUGUAACUGACACUGAGGCGCGAAAGCGUGGGGAGCAAACAGGAUUAGAUACCCGGGUAGUCCACGCCGUAAACGAUGAGUGCUAAGUGUUGGGGGGUUUCCGCCCCUCAGUGCUGCAGCUAACGCGUUAAGCACUCCGCCUGGGGAGUACGGUCGCAAGACUGAAACUCAAAGGAAUUGACGGGG